UCAUAUUCAAAGAGUCAGACUUGGAGUCAGCUUUAUUGUCAAUUUCUUCACAUGUACUUGACAUACAAAGGAAUCGAAAUUACGUUUCUCACUAUCCCUAUGCGUUUAACAUGGACACCAGUAAAAAGUGCAAGUGCACAACAAGACAAAUCCUAAGUUAAUAAAUAAAUAAAUAAAAUGCAGUAGCUAAAAUUCAAAUAUAAAUGUAAAUAUAACAGUAGCAGCAGGUGUGUGCAAUUUGCAUAUUUGUGCAGAGUCUCAGCUUGGAAGGGGGGAGGGAGAGUCCAAUAUUCCUAGACUCCUCCUGCCAGCCUGAUGUUCCUUCUGGCUGGGGCUGAGAGUCGGGAGGGAAGAGAGUUCAGCAGCCUCAC